rnacentral:rRNA from 1 species
UUCCGGUUGAUCCUGCCGGACCCCACUGCUAUCGAGGUGGGACUAAGCCAUGCUAGUUGAGCGCACAGAACUAUGUCUGUGAGCGGCACACUGCUCAGUAACACGUAGCUAACCUACCCUUAGGACGUGGACAACCCCGAGAAAUUGGGGCUAAUCCGCGAUAGAUGUAUUGUCCUGGAAUGGUAUUACGUCUAAAGGUAUCCCAUACAUGUUUGGUAUACGCCUAAGGAUGGGGCUGCGGCCGAUCAGGCUGUUGGUGAGGUAAUGGCUCACCAAACCUUUGACCGGUACGGGCCAUGAGAGUGGUAGCCCGGAGAUGGACACUGAGACAAGGGUCCAGGCCCUACGGGGCGCAGCAGGCGCGAAACCUCCUCAAUGCACUUACGUGCGAAGGGGCUACCUCGAGUGCCACCUGAUGAAGGUGGCUUUUCCUAGGUCUAAAAAGCCUUGGGAAUAAGAGGGGGGCAAGACUGGUGUCAGCCGCCGCGGUAACACCAGCCCCUCGAGUGGUGGGGAUGAUUAUUGGGCCUAAAGCGUCCGUAGCCUGCCGUGUAAGUUUCCCGUUAAAUCCAGCGUCUUAAGCGUUGGACCGCGGGAAAUACUGUACGGCUAGAGAGUGGGAGAGGUCAGCGGUAUUCUGGGGGUAGGGGCGAAAUCCUUUGAUCCCCGGAGGACCACCAGUGGCGAAGGCUGCUGUCUAUAACACGUCUGACGGUCAGGGACGAAAGCUGGGGUAGCGAACCGGAUUAGAUACCCGGGUAGUCCCAGCCGUAAACGAUGCAUGCUAGGUGUUGGGUUGGCCACGAGCCACCCCAGUGCCGCAGGGAAGCCGUUAAGCAUGCCGCCUGGGAAGUACGAUCGCAAGGUUGAAACUUAAAGGAAUUGGCGGGGGAGCACCACCAGGCGUGAAGCCUGCGGUUUAAUUGGAGUCAACGCCGGA